UACGUAGGGUGCGAGCGUUGUCCGGAAUUAUUGGGCGUAAAGGGCUCGUAGGCGGUUUGUCGCGUCGGGAGUGAAAACCCAGGGCUUAACCCUGGGCUGGCUUCCGAUACGGGCAGACUAGAGGUAUGCAGGGGGAGAACGGAAUUCCUGGUGUGCGGUGAAAUGCGCAGAUAUCAGGAGGAACACCGGUGGCGAAGGCGGUCUCUGGGCAUUACCUGACGCUGAGGAGCGAAAAGUGUGGGGGAGCGAACAGG
rnacentral:rRNA from 1 species